UGGGGAAUUUUGGACAAUGGGCGCAAGCCUGAUCCAGCAAUGCCGCGUGAGUGAAGAAGGCCUUCGGGUUGUAAAGCUCUUUCAGUCGAGAAGAAAAGGUUGUGACCAAUAAUCACAACUCAUGACGGUAUCGACAGAAGAAGCACCGGCUAACUACGUGCCAGCAGCCGCGGUAAUACGUAGGGUGCGAGCGUUAAUCGGAAUUACUGGGCGUAAAGGGUGCGCAGGCGGUUUUGUAAGUCAGAUGUGAAAUCCCCGGGCUUAACCUGGGAACUGCGUUUGAAACUACAAGACUGGAGUGUGGCAGAGGGGGUGGAAUUCCAUGUGUAGCAGUGAAAUGCGUAGAGAUAUGGAAGAACAUCGAUGGCGAAGGCAGCCCCCUGGGUUAACACUGACGCUCAUGCACGAAAGCGUGGGGAGCAAACAGGAUUAGAUACCCACGUAGUCCCUGAGCGGGCUGGCAAGGCGCAU
rnacentral:rRNA from 1 species